CUCUGGGCUGUGUGUAAGAGGAUCACUUUGUUUCCGUUGCCUUUUUCCGCGGUGCUGCAGACACACAUUGAGGGGAGGAUUGGAUUUGAGGAGAUACUGACGGGUUUGCACAGCUGCAACAGUCCCCUCCAUCUCCACACCAGGACUAAUGCCCCCCCUCCCUCUCUCCCUCUCUCUCUCUCUCUCUCCCUCUCCGUGUGUUUGACUCUCCCUCUGUCGCACUCUCUGCUUCUGCCUCUCGGAGGGGUGGGGGUGCCAUAUGGGAGCUCAGAAAAAUGGAAGUGGAUCGGAGAUAGACAAGAGAGGAAUCUUUCAUUCUUGGUCUCGGAUGUCGGGAUCUAUGUGAAAAGGCGAACUUAAAAAUUGACCCCAGGCAGCAAAACCCCCCAUGAGGAAGACACAUCCAUGAAGGGAGCCCUGGCAAUUGUCAGUCUUUCCCCGCUCUCAGAGGUAAGACAAAUCACAACGAGCAAGGUAAGACAAAUGACAUAACUUUCAUUUGCAACACAACGACCAAAUCCAAAGUCUUACUUUCCAGUAUUCCUCAGCAGACCAGAGAAAGAGAUAGUGUUUUGGUGUAUGACUGCCUUGUUUUGCUUGCGCACUUGCACUAGACGAGUGAGUCAGUAAAAGUGUCAGACUGCCGUAACAGACGGCCUGCGCAAGAUAAUUAGCCUGGAGUCAUUUGGAAGCAGCUCAGCUCUGCCCAGGUGCCCACUGUGCACAGAAAGAGACCAGAUGACCUUUUACUCAGCUCCAUCCCACUGCAGUCACUUAAAACAGUGAUGGAUGUUUCCCUUAACACCCUGCUCCCUACCAGCGCUCGUUCUCCUUUUCCCUUCACCCUCCCCUCUCUCUUAUUUCACCAUUUUCCCCUCCUUCCCUCUUCUCUGUUCCGUUCCAGCAUCGCUCUCGUCUUAUUUGUCCCCUCUGCUGUCCUUGUUUUUCUACCGUCCUUUUACAGCCCCCCGUUCUCUCUGUUCUUCCAGAGUGAUGAGGAGGAAG